rnacentral:lncRNA from 1 species
AUGGAUAUAUUUGGUUGAUGUUUAGCGUGUUGUGCUUAACACGCCUCUCGAUGUACUUACACAGGACAAUUUGGGGAAUGACUGUUGUUUUCCAUCAAGGUUAGUUUCAUCCCAUGGCUUAUAUAUACUCAUUGUUCAGGAUAUCGGUAGCUGGUACCAUAUAGGCCAGGGGCAGAUAAGGGACUAAUCGGUAAAUCAGACUUUUAACUGAAUAUAUUUAUAACCCAUUUAUCGUUAGUUUAACUAAGUCCAUAUGUAAUAUAUCUGGGGCUACAUAGCAAUAUGCACUAUACUGAAUGUCUAAAUAUGCAAUCCUAGGCUACAUAGCAACAAGGAAGAGUGUUACCUUAAUGUUCUGAUGAUGUCUAGAUAUAUGUAGAAGAGCAGCAGCAACAACAACAACAACAACAACACAACAACAACAGUUAAUCAGCCGAUAAUUUGUUGAUGGUAAUAUGUUGUUCAUCCAAUAUGUGAGUAUAUUGGAUGUUAUAAGAUAUUAUAUAAUGGGACGGAGGGAGUGUUGUACUACAUCAUUGUGCAAUUGUUGUUUAGCUUCUAAUAUGGUGCUUUUAGGUACAUAUGUCAUUGGUAAAGAUACGCGCUUUGACCCUUUCUGCGUAUGGCGCAAUAAGAUAUUGAUGAACUAACAUCAAAUGAGGAAGCUGAUAAAGAUUGUUAGUAAAAUGGGUCAAAAGGUGUCAAUUAAAAUAUUUGUUUACCAUUUAUCCAAGACAACAACAAA